AUGGGGACUUCCCUGAGGGUUUUUGGGGUUUGGCAAGGACCCGAUGGUGGCAGUGCAGUGAGGGACCCCCAGGGCGGGCUGGAUCCCUGAGGAGAAGCUGGGAUUGUGCCCUGGAGAGGGUCUGUCCCCAAGACCUGCCCUGUCCCCUCAGCUGACGGCCACGGGGCCCGGCCGGCGCCUGCUCAGGGCCCGCGGCACCUACGUGGUGCUGAGGGAGCUGCACGGCUGGGAGAGGGACCCCGAGGUGCUCAGGGCCUGCCACAGGGUCAUCCAGGUCAGUGGGGGGACCCCGAGGUGCUCAGGGCCUGCCACAGGGUCAUCCAGGUCAGUGGGGGGUCAUGGGGUGCUCAGGGCCUGCCACAGGGUCAUCCAGGUCAGUGAGGGGCACCCCGAGGUGCUCAGGGCGUGCCACAGGGUCAUCCAGGUCAGUGAGGGGUCAUGGGGUGCUCAGGGCCUGCCACAGGGUCAUCCAGGUCAGUGGGGGGUCAUGGGGUGCUCAGGGCCUGCCACAGGGUCAUCCAGGUCAGUGGGGGGACCACAAGGUGCUCAGGGCCUGCCACAGGGUCAUCCAGGUCAGUGGGGGGACCCCAGGGUCAUCCAGGUCAGUGGGGGGACCCCGAGGUGCUCAGGGCCUGCCACAGGGUCAUCCAGGUCAGUGAGGGGGACCCCAGGGUCAUCCAGGUCAG